UUUUACCUUUACUUCAAAAUGCACACUAACUUGUGUUCUAACUAUUUAUGAAUAGAUAUGUUUGUUUACAGUGAAUCAGUCAUUGUGUUAGACUGCAUUUUUUGGCUCCAAGAGCUGAAAGAAUUAAUACUUUUUGACAACAUAUAGUGGAAUGUUUAGUCAUGGAUGUUCAUCUUACUUGAUAUUCAUUUGGAUUGUAAUGAUACCAAAUCGAUUUCUUUGUUUUAAUUGAGUUUGGCAAUUGUUUGUACACGUUAUGGUUAUGGUUGAACCAGUUAUCACCAAAGAAUGGUUUAUUAUUGAUUUUACUGCAAAAUGAUACAAGAUCAGAGGUAUGUCAAAGUCAAUCAGUUGUUGCCUAUGCCAAAAGAGGUGUAAACCUAACAGCAGGAGGCGAUUUAUUGAAGAAAAAUUAAAACCAUACGCCAGUAAAUGUCUCACAAGACCCAUUGGAGACGGAGUAUAUUUGUGGCGCCUGUUUUAGUCUUUAUGCUAAAAUGAAGACAGGGCAACCUAUUCAAAGAACAGGGAAUAAGCAUGUGGAAAAUCCUAUGAACAGCCCGAAAAAGCAUUUUAUUGAAAUUACCGGUUUCAGCCCGUUCACACAAGACCUGCAUAGUCUGUAAGUAGAAUGCUACUUCAAAAAAUAAAGUCAUUAAAAUUCCAUCUUCAGCUAUUGCUCAAGCUUUAGUGGAAAAAAUCAUGUUUGUAGACUUAAAAAACAGGUGCUGUGCCUCACAUAUCGAAAAUACCAUUUCACAAAUGAAUCCCUAAAAGAAAAUGAAUUGGCUGAUCGACUUUCAAGGACUGACAUUCUACAUCUUCUAAAAAAUGUACGGACAUUUAUGUUGCAGUCAAAAUUCCUCAACUUUGAUUGCACAUAUAACAUGUUAGAUGAUGCCUUCCACACAUUGACUGGAAUUUCAAAAGGCCAAUUUGAAGAUUUAGUAAAAUCUGUUGAUAAACUUCGUGAUACAGAAGUUCGUACUCAAGAAAUUGCAUCGGUAUAAGUUGAGAACAGGCUUGUCAAACAAGCUUCUAUCAGUUCUCUUCGGAUUUACAUCUGCUCAAAUACAAAGGUCUAUUACAUCUGCAAGUUUAGAUCUAAUGGAGUCCUUUUUCCAGAAAACAUUGGUUUUGAGCAUAUCUCACAUUCCCAAUUUUGUGAAAAUCAUAUUACACCUAUUGUAAAGGAACUUUUCAAAAAUACAGAUGAUCAAGCAGUACUUGUUAUGGACGGAACUUAUGUUUAUAUUCAAAAAAGCUCAAAUUAUGAGUUUUAAAAGUUGGUGCAAGGGUAGUAGGGUGUUGCGCACAUGUUGCGAGUGUCAUUUGGUACCUGGGCUAUUUUCAAUUCAGAAGUUUAGAAAUUCCCGGUAGAAAUUAUUCUCUUCUUGAUGCUGGUAAUAUGCCUGAAGAUGAGUCUGAAUAAGAUAUAUCAAGCGAAGAAGAAACAGGAUCGAAGAAAAAGGACUGAAGAACAAGAAAUUCUUAUCGCCUAGCUAACUGGAGAAAUUAUAUAUUUACACGCAUCUAAUCUAGGAUAUUUCUAAAAAACGUAAGAUGGAGUUCUAAAGACUACUUCAAACAGGUCAUUACUUCUUCUGUCUUGAGAAGAAUUAGCUUUUUACAUUGUACUUUUAGGUCUGAUUAAUACAAUAUGGUUAUUACAACAGUAACUCGAUCUGGGAUGCUGUAUUCGACUCGAGUGGAUUUUGCCAGAUCGGAUCUCACGAGGCGCGCAUUCGCCGAAUGUGAUCCGUUCUUGCAAAAUCCACGAGAGCCGGCCGAAUACAAAAUCCCAGAUCGAGCUACUGUUGUAAUGACCCUUUUAUUAUAUACCUCCAUCUUUUUGUUUUUUUAUUUGUAAUCGAACGAAAUCUUAAAUGUUUGUUGAUGUCGAAAUGAAAUGAGUGACGUUUUUGUGUGCGCUAUUUACAUAACUGUGUCAGCUCAUGCAUAUUAUUAAAAGUAGUCCGGCAACAUGCAAUACGGAAGGUACAGGACUGGAUUUUGGAAGGUAUCAUACGGGAUUUUUAUAAGACUGUUCGUAUUUCCUUGCAGUGUGCAAGCUGUAUUUUUGACAGAAUUUAUAUAGGUAUAUGAUUAAAAUAUCCAUCUUUAAGCAUAAUGCUUAUUGUGCAUUAUUUUCGUUGUUACUGCUUUUCAUCAAAAUAUCUUUGUAAUAUUGUAUAAAUAUUGUGUAAAUUAACUGUUUCCUUUGUAUUUGCUAUGAACUAUAAAUAUUUUAGCAGUUCACCUAUUGUUAUACGUUAGGUAAGAGACAAUUCAACUGACUUGCCAAAUGUCAGAUGGUUCUACUACUGCAGUUUUAAAAUGUGUAUUGAAGAUCACGUGCUAGGCUCGUCUAACAACAUUGAAGCUGGAUAGUCACAGUAUCAUCUAAUAUUUGUCAAUGAUACUUGCAGUCAUUUCUGUGUGUGACUGCAAUACAUAUUAGUGUGAAAAUGUUGAAGUUUUCAGGUUUUUAUGUGUGUCUACUACAGUUGCUUUUUGAGAUGUCAUACGGAGGUAACGUAUUCUCUGUAGCCAGAACGAGUUUGAUAAGCCACUCCUACAGGGACAUUGAUUAUAAAUAUCAUACUAUUUGUGAACAUAGUCAUUGUCAUAUAUACUAGUAUUACAUGCGAAACGCUAAAUUUAAUGUGAAGUAGCUUAUGCAUUUCAUAAACAAAUGCAUGUAACUACCAGUCUGAAUUGAAAACAAUAAUAUGUUCAAUCUUGUCUACAGUUUACUCAAAACAAAACAGUUAUGUAACAAAGGACAAAGUUAUGUAACAGAGGACAAGCAUUCAUCCCUUCGUAUGUAUAAGUAUUUCCUUGACUAAGCACUUAGUAGUUAGAACUUGGCAUAUAUAUUGUUUCACAGCUCUCAAUUAACUAUUGGCAUUUAUCAUUUGUGAUUCGCCGUUUCGCAGUCAAUAUUUGUACAUUAAGCAUUUGGCAACAGCAUUUUGCACUGUUUUAAAAUUAAGCAUUUGGCAAUUAGAAUGGAUUUCCAUAGAUAAUAGUCUGACACUGUAAAUGUCAAAUUAUAAAUGCAAAGACACUAGUUGCUUAUUGCUAAGCUCUUACAAUAAUAAACACCUUAAUGGUUCUAUGAUAAAUUAAUACUCUCAAUAAAGGAUACUAUUGAAUAAUGAUAAAUGCUACUUUUAUAUUGCAAAAUGCAAAACAAUAAAUGUCAUAAUGCUUAAAACCAAAUAUUUGCUAAAAUAAAUACCUGAAAAAAUAAUAGUCAUUUAACUCCAUAAAAAGCAAGUCCGUGAAUAUUUUUAAUAAAUAACUUUUGUCUCAAGUCUCCGUGACUUAGAAAAUAUUGGUGAUUUUAUUGGUGAUUUAUAUUAAUCUUACCCUGCUAAAUUUCUAUAAUGCAUUUGCCCAUCUUUCAACUUGGACAUAACCAUUAACUGCUGAAAGUGGUGCAUACCAGAAACAUAUUAUAUAAAUGACGAACAGUGCAGAUCAUGGUCAGACUGCAUGGAUGUGCAGGCUGAUCAUGAUCUACACUGAUCGAAAAAGGCAGAAUCAAUCGCAUCAGGCAAGGUUAAUCUUGAAAAAAUAUGCCUUUUCAAAUAGUUUAAAGAUACAUACAUUAGUUAAAGAUGUAUAGAUCAGGUAGUAGAAAAGAAAAAUAUAUUGACGAUUACCAUUUAAGGUGGCUCCAUAUCUUAGACCAAAAUAGGUCAAAUAUUAACGUACAUUAAAGAACUUUGAUGUAAAUGUAGACUGAAGACUAUAUUUUUCAAAAAUGCAUAUGUAUUUUGCACAAUUCCUGUCUAAUGUGUUAUGUGUAGCGGCACCUAGCGGUACCUACUUUUAUCACGGAAAAGUUCGUUUUUCCGCCAUUAUUUAGUAGAAAAUGAUCCGAAUUCAUUUUUUUCCUGCCUGUUUACAGUUUUUCAUAUUGCAAGUGGCUAAAUACUCAAGAACAAAUUUUCUAGCUAUAUCUAAGCAAUUAUUGAAGGAAACCGCGCGUUCAGAGAGGCAAAAUAUGUACUAAAAACUGGACCUGAAUUCGCGUAUUUCGUCUUAUAUCAUUUGUUUGGCGCGAUGAAAGUUUUUUUUUAUUUUCUGGCAUUACAUUUUUUAAGGUAUGUUGAUUAAAUAAAUGAAAUAGAAAAGGUAUGUGUUCACGCUUGAUAUUUCGCAAAAUAACUUUGAAAAUUGCCAUACGCAAAUAAAAAUACGGGCAUCGAAACGCAACGUCAUGACGAGAUGAAGUUAUUGGGUUCCGUUUCGACAUUGUAUUUAAUAUAAAAUUCAGCAUAUUCCUCAUAUUAUGCGUAUUUUACUUUGUUUUAUAUUUCUGCAUCUUCUUUUCUCUGCAAUCUUUCAAACACGACCAUUGACGUCGAUUUUUUUAUGAUUUCAGGUCCGCUAGACUGUUUUCGUAAAUCGCUCUAUUCAUUCAACAAGUAUCGAUUUGCUUGUUACUCAUCAUAUUUUCAUUUAAAAUGUCUUUAAAAAUAUGUAUUAUUUGUAGAGAUCAUUUUAACGUGAAAGUUAAUAUUUACGUUACAGUGAUGUAAGAGCGACUAAUACGACGUUAAGUUUUGAAUAAAAUGUUUGUUUAAAUCCUGUCUCAUGUAAACCCAAACGAUAGAAUUUGACCAAAAACAAACAUAUUGUUGAAAAGUUCAUUUUCUGUCGAUUGCAAAAAUAAUAAAAUAUAAUUAUAGGGUCACCGAAUUCAUUUUCGCCUAAAAUCAACCUACGCUACCCCUAGCCCCAAAUCAAAAGAUAACGCAACUGAAUAUUUUCCCGCAUCUCCAAUUUUUAAGGUAAACUCCACAUUUUUAUUUUUCUUAGUAUAAUUAAAUCAAAACAGCCUUUAAAAUUCUGCUACCUUUGGCGAAAAUAUGUCAUUGUAGAACUUAUAUUCAUUAUAUGAGAAUGCACUCCAUUACCUUUGCACUAAACUACAUUACUAUUCCCCACCCCAGAUAAAAGAUAUUUGUAAUUCAAUGUUUCUUAUGUAUCGUGAUCAAGACAAACUCAUUUUAACAUAUUUUAAGUAGAAUUUAAUCAAAAGAGUCAUUUACAACUGUGCAAUGAUUUCAUUCACCGUUAAGACUGAAAUGAUUUAUCUCGCAAGUUAAUGGUAAUACAUGAAAACUCAUGAAUUGAUGCACAUUACAUUGUAAACAUAACAAAAAUAAAUAAGAAAAAGACAGAAUAUAAUGAAAAUCCUGUAUUUGAAUUAUCUCAACCUUUUAAUUUUAACAAGUGCCUGUAUUUAUAAAUAAAAAUGGUUAC